AAAAGAAAAAAGUAAACCCAUAUUUGCAUAGGAUUUUGGACCUUCACCUCUUCUCUUCGUAUCGUUAUUUUCAGCUGAAAAAGGCUUUUACAUUAAUCACCCUUGAAGUUACUUUUCUACAGUUAAGAUUUGAAACUGAAGACAAAGCAAGGAGACUACUAAGUAAUGUGUCAUUUUUGUUGAAACUAGGGGGUUAUUUUUUCGGUAUUACUCCUGAAAAAGUGAUUGCCAAAAACUGUUGUUUCUGGAUUUGUGUAUUUUUCUUUUUUUUUUCUUGUGGUUCUUCUUUUUUGUUUCGGGAGGUGAUUGUGUAAACAUUUUAGUGUGAUUUAGUUAUUGUAAGAAUAUUUUUAACAUUGUUAAUUUUAA